rnacentral:rRNA from 1 species
AUUGAACGCUGGCGGCAUGCCUUACACAUGCAAGUCGAACGGCAGCACGGGAGCAAUCCUGGUGGCGAGUGGCGAACGGGUGAGUAAUGUAUCGGAACGUGCCCAGUCGUGGGGGAUAACGUAGCGAAAGCUACGCUAAUACCGCAUACGAUCUGUGGAUGAAAGCGGGGGACCGUAAGGCCUCGCGCGAUUGGAGCGGCCGGUAUCAGAUUAGGUAGCUGGUGGGGUAAAGGCCUACGAAGCCGACGAUCUGUAGCUGGUCUGAGAGGACGACCAGCCACACUGGGACUGAGACACGGCCCAGACUCCGACGGGAGGCAGCAGUGGGGAAUUUUGGACAAUGGGCGCAAGCCUGAUCCAGCAAUGCCGCGUGCAGGAUGAAGGCCUUCGGGUUGUAAACUGCUUUUGUACGGAGCGAAAAGGCUCUCUCUAAUACAGGGGGCUCAUGACGGUACCGUAAGAAUAAGCACCGGCUAACUACGUGCCAGCCGCCGCAGUAA